rnacentral:rRNA from 1 species
UCCAGACUCCUACGGGAGGCAGCAGUGGGGAAUAUUGCACAAUGGGGGAAACCCUGAUGCAGCGACGCCGCGUGAAGGACGAAGUAUUUCGGUACGUAAACUUCUCUCAGCAGGGAAGAAAAUGACGGUACCUGACCAAGAAGCCCCGGCUAACUACGUGCCAGCAGCCGCGGUAAUACGUAGGGGGCAAGCGUUAUCCGGAUUUACUGGGUGUAAAGGGAGCGUAGACGGCCAUGCAAGUCUGAUGUGAAAACCCGGGGCUCAACCCCGGGACUGCAUUGGAAACUGUGCGGCUGGAGUGUCGGAGAGGCAAGUGGAAUUCCUAGUGUAGCGGUGAAAUGCGUAGAUAUUAGGAGGAACACCAGUGGCGAAGGCGGCUUCCUGGUCUGCAACUGACACUGAGGCGCGAAAGCGUGGGGAGCAAACAGGAUUAGAUACCCUCGUA